CUUGGCUUGUUAACAAAGUGUGAUCUUACAAAUGGUCCCUGGCUGCUCUCCCUGGAAGUUGUGUGCAUGUAUGUUUGUUCUCCAUGUCCUUAGACAGCAACAAAGCAAUUGUUCCAACCAAUUGAAGUGGGAACAAGUUCAGAAGCCAUUAAGUACCAAUAUGAGGAUCUCCUCAGACGGCUAAAUUUACUAUUAACAGCACAACAGAGACUGAAGCCUACCCCAAACAGCUGGAACAUUUGCUAAGACAAAACUGAAAAAGUCAAGGUUUGACUUUAAAACUUAAAAGCAAAAAAUCUUCUGAAAAUUGUGUAAAUGGCAACCGUGGAUCACACUGUUUAACAGAUGCUAAAGAGAACUAACAAAAUAUUGGACAGGUCUGUGACAGGAUGUCAUGAAUCAACUUCCACAGCCAAGAAUGGACUUAUGAACCUAUUAAACUUGCAGUCUUUGGCUUUGAAGCAACAGUCAUCAUUGUUAAUUGCUAUUAUUUUACUCCCUAACAUUUUCAAGGGAAAGAAAAAAAAGGCACAGAGGAUUUAGUAAGAGCCAUUCUGUCCAGCUUAACACAAGGGAGUUACUUUCAUUUCUGAUAAAUAAAAAGUGUCUUAAAAUAAAAAGAAUAAAAUGU
rnacentral:lncRNA from 1 species